UGGGGAAUCUUGCGCAAUGGGCGAAAGCCUGACGCAGCAACGCCGCGUGGGGGAAGAAGGCUUUCGGGUUGUAAACCUCUUUCAGGGGGGACGAAGCCACCGGGGUUAAUAGCCCACGGGGUGACGGUACCCCCAGAAGAAGCCCCGGCUAACUACGUGCCAGCAGCCGCGGUAAUACGUAGGGGGCAAGCGUUGUCCGGAUUUAUUGGGCGUAAAGAGCUCGUAGGCGGUUGCGUAAGUCGGAUGUGAAAACUCAGGGCUCAACCCUGAGACGCCAUCCGAUACUGCGCUGACUUGAAUCCAGUAGGGGAGUGUGGAAUUCCUGGUGUAGCGGUGAAAUGCGCAGAUAUCAGGAGGAACACCCAUGGCGAAGGCAGCACUCUGGGCUGGUAUUGACGCUGAGGAGCGAAAGCAUGGGUAGCGAACAGGAUUAGAUACCCCAGUAGUCCCUGAGCGGGCUGGCAAGGCGCAU
rnacentral:rRNA from 1 species